AACGAACGCUGGCGGCAGGCUUAACACAUGCAAGUCGAGCGCCCCGCAAGGGGAGCGGCAGACGGGGGAGUAACGCGUGGGAAUCUACCCAUCUCUACGGAAUAACGCAUGGAAACGUGUGCUAAUACCGUAUACGUCCUUCGGGAGAAAGAUUUAUCGGAGGUGGAUGAGCCCGCGUUGGAUUAGCUAGUUGGUGGGGUAAAGGCCUACCAAGGCGACGAUCCAUAGCUGGUCUGAGAGGAUGAUCAGCCACACUGGGACUGAGACACGGCCCAGACUCCUUCGGGAGGCAGCAGUAGGCAAUAUUGGAAAAUGGGCGCAAGCCUGAUCCAGCCAUGGCGCGUGAGGGAUGAAGGCCCUAGGGUUGUAAAGCUCUUUCACCGGUGAAGAUAAUGACGGUAACCGGAGAAGAAGCCCCGGCUAACUACGUGCCAGCCGCCGCCGUAACAC
rnacentral:rRNA from 1 species